GAGGAAGAUCUUGGUGACUGAGUGGCGGACGGGUGAAUAACGCGUGGGUAACCUGCCUCAUACGGGGGGAUAACAGUUAGAAAUGACUGCUAAUACCGCAUAAGACCACAGCACCGCAUGGUGCAGGGGUAAAAACUCCGGUGGUAUGAGAUGGACCCGCGUCUGAUUAGGUAGUUGGGGGGGUAACGGCCUACCAAGCCGACGAUCAGUAGCCGACCUGAGAGGGUGACCGGCCACAUUGGGACUGAGACACGGCCCAAACUCCUACGGGAGGCAGCAGUGGGGAAUAUUGCACAAUGGGGGAAACCCUGAUGCAGCGACGCCGCGUGAGCGAUGAAGUAUUUCGGUAUGUAAAGCUCUAUCAGCAGGGAAGAAAAUGACGGUACCUGACUAAGAAGCACCGGCUAAAUACGUGCCAGCAGCCGCGGUAAUACGUAUGGUGCAAGCGUUAUCCGGAUUUACUGGGUGUAAAGGGAGCGUAGACGGAGUGGCAAGUCUGAUGUGAAAACCCGGGGCUCAACCCCGGGACUGCAUUGGAAACUGUCAAUCUAGAGUACCGGAGAGGUAAGCGGAAUUCCUAGUGUAGCGGUGAAAUGCGUAGAUAUUAGGAGGAACACCAGUGGCGAAGGCGGCUUACUGGACGGUAACUGACGUUGAGGCUCGAAAGCGUGGGGAGCAAACAAGAGUACAUACCCUGGUAGUCCACGCCGUAAACGACCCUAAAGGGUGUCGGGCAGCCAAAGCUGGUUCGGUGCCGCAGCAAACGCAAUAAGUAGUCCACCCUGGGGAGUACGUUCGCAAGAAUGAAACUCAAAGGAAUUGACGGGGACCCGCACAAGCGGUGGAGCAUGUGGUUAAUUCGAAGCAACGCGAAGAACCUUACCUGCUCUUGACAUCUCCCUGGCCGGCAAGUAAUGUUGCCUUUCCUUCGGGACAGGGAUGACAGGUGGUGCAUGGUUGUCGUCAGCUCGUGUCGUGAGAUGUUGGGUUAAGUCCCGCAACGAGCGCAACCCCUAUCUUUAGUAGCCAGCGGUUCGGCCGGGCACUCUAGAGAGACUGCCAGGGAUAACCUGGAGGAAGGUGGGGAUGACGUCAAAUCAUCAUGCCCCUUAUGAGCAGGGCUACACACGUGCUACAAUGGCGUAAACAAAGGGAGGCAGAACCGCGAGGUCGAGCAAAUCCCAAAAAUAACGUCUCAGUUCGGAUUGUAGUCUGCAACUCGACUACAUGAAGCUGGAAUCGCUAGUAAUCGCGAAUCAGAAUGUCGCGGUGAAUACGUUCCCGGGUCUUGCACU
rnacentral:rRNA from 1 species